rnacentral:rRNA from 1 species
UCAUUAGACCGUUUCUGAAACCAGUAGUGAAGUAUGUUGUUUAAUUAGAUAAUCCGCUAAAAACCUUACCACAGCUUGAAUGUUUAUAUAUUUUAUAUAUUCACAAGUGUUGCACGGCUGUCUUCAGUUAAUGUCGUGAGAUUUUGGUUAGAUCCAUUAAAUUAACGCAAGCCCUUACUUUAUUUUUAAAUAAAGUAGUUCCCCAUUAUAUCGGACAUGAUAACAGGGACUAAGACAAGUCAUCAUGGCCUGAAUGCUGUGGGCUAUAGACGUGCCACAUA